rnacentral:tRNA from 1 species
CGGGGCGUAGCGCAGUCUGGUAGCGCACCUGCUUUGGGAGCAGGGGGUCACAAGUUCGAAUCUUGUCGCCCCGACCA